rnacentral:rRNA from 1 species
GACGAACGCUGGCGGCGUGCUUAACACAUGCAAGUCGAGCGGUAAGGCCCUUUCGGGGGUACACGAGCGGCGAACGGGUGAGUAACACGUGGGUGACCUGCCCUCAGCUCUGGGAUAAGCCUGGGAAACUGGGUCUAAUACUGGAUAUGACUCCACGGUGCAUGUCGUGGGGUGGAAAGCCUUGUGCGGCUGAGGAUGGGCCCGCGGCCUAUCAGCUUGUUGGUGGGGUGANGGCCUACCAAGGCGACGACGGGUAGCCGGCCUGAGAGGGCGACCGGCCACACUGGGACUGAGACACGGCCCAGACUCCUACGGGAGGCAGCAGUGGGGAAUAUUGGACAAUGGG